CACCUUUUUUUUAGUGAACCAACCAGCUUGCUACCAUGGCCAAGGGUGUUAUAACAGGCAAAAGUCAGAUUGCAUUUGGAGGCUUGACACAUUCAGCAGGCCAGCCAAGCUGCCAAGCUAAACUGUCAUUUCUACUGCUUAUCUAAGAUCAGCUGCAGAGAUCUGAUGGAGGGGUGUAGUCUUAAAGUAAGGAAGCCAAUGGAAUGAAUGUGAAAUGGAGUGUAAGCCUCACUGGGUACUUAUGACACACAGACCUGUGUGCAAAGAUGUAAUUUUAAAUAUAAUCCCUUAUUUCCCCCCACCCCCCGUCUUAUUUCUAUUUCAGGAAAUUUCAUACAUUUAGCUCCAGCUUAAGGUGCGGUUGAAAGAUAACAAAAUUAUAAUGCAGCAUGGCCUGGACUAACAGGAUGAAGCAGCAAAUGGAGAUUCCUUGGCUAGAAAACUCCAUUGCAAAAUUCAGAUUUCAAAGGAUGGCUGUGUUUCAGAUCACAUAUUAGGAGCUCAAGCUAGUACAAGUCAAUCAAAAGGACUUACUGAAUGCUGUUCAAGGACAGACUGAAAAUUAAGUCACGUUUCCAUUAUUUGAGGUGCAUCAAGCUGUGAAAAUUGACAGAGAAAGGAAAGAUUAUAUGCUGAACACAGGGAAAAAAGAUUUUCUUACUACAACAUUGUUAUCCAUAUGGUAAUUGAGUA